rnacentral:lncRNA from 1 species
AUUGUUUUCUCACUUUUUCACCAAUCUGAGUCAAUGUCUAUCAAAGUACAUUCAUAUCAUACCACAUUUGUACAUCUUAAAUUAUUUAAUUAUUUUUUUUAAUAUCAAGUAUAGAUUUCUAGGGUACUGAAGAAAAUGAUAAGUAUGUGUUUGUUUAUUUCCCUCUGCUACCUCAUUUUUUUCCUACUUGUUUGCAUCAUAUGUUGGUAAGGUGUCACAUAUGCACUCCAGCUGUGACACUGUACACUCUCCCUAGUCCUCUUAAUAAUGAGUCCGUGCUGUUUAACAUGUUCAUAAAGUAUUUUUUCCAUUUUACAGGUAGGGUAAGAGGCAUAUAGAGAAAUCAAAUAAUCUAUCCUGAGAGCAUGCAAGCACUCUAGUAAUAAAAUCCCAGUGAACCCUGGCUAUAACUCUUUUGAUGUCCUCAUCAGUGGCCACAGUCCUCCAAGGAUUGAUGGGUAGAUGCUGUGGUGGGGUCCAGGCAGCUUUGUGGAAAAGUCUCCAAUGGUCUGGUAGGAUGAGAAGGUCCAGGGGUAGUUUGGAAUACGAGGAGAAGCAUCACCUCCCAAGACGGUAAACCUACUGAAAAGACUAUUCAAAUUCCAGAAGGAC